GUGGGGGAUAUUGCACAAUGGGGGAAACCCUGAUGCAGCGACGCCGCGUGAAGGAAGACGUACUUCGGUAUGUAAACUUCUAUCAGCAGGGAAGAAGAUGACGGUACCUGACUAAGAAGCCCCGGCUAACUACGUGCCAGCAGCCGCGGUAAUACGUAGGGGGCAAGCGUUAUCCGGAUUUACUGGGUGGAAAGGGAGCGUAGACGGUGAAGCAAGUCUGAUGUGAAAACCCGGGGCUCAACUCCGGGAUUGCAUUGGAAACUGUUUUACUUGAGUGCUGGAGUGGCAAGCGGAAUUCCGGGGGUAGCGGUGAAAUGCGUAGAUAUCAGGAAGAACACCGGUGGCGAAGGCGGCUUGCUGGACAGUAACUGACGUUGAGGCUCGAAAGCGUGGGGAGCAAACAGGAUUAGAAACCCGAGUAGUCC
rnacentral:rRNA from 1 species